UGGGCCGGGGCGGGGAGAGCCAUUUGCGACCUGCAGCUGCUGCGCGCCACCAGCGCCAGCGCCGGCCGGGGCCUUCUCCAAGCCGCUGGCGAAACCGAACCGGGCGCCAGGGGGCCCGGCGCCGAUAGAGGGCUCCUCCUCUGAGAAAUGAAGAUAAUGCUGAUCCCAAGAGGCGGGCUGUGUGGUUCAGCUGGCUCAUGAGGAGUGCUUGUUGAGCACGCACGAUGCCUGGUACCCGGUGAGGAAUCCCUGGGCACUCUCAUUGCGUCUGGGACUCCAGUCGGGUCUGUGGGGCUUCUCUGGCUGGUUUCUGAGCAUCCCUGGAGAGACACAGACUCCUAAAAGUAGGUGGAGUAGAAGGCUGGCUUUUCAUGAGAUCCGAAAGUUCUGAUGAUUGGGCAGCAUGGGGACAAUAACAUCGAUCAAUGCUGCUUCUGUGACCUACAGAUUCCAUGGUGCCUGGAAUUCUGCUAUUAGAGAUUCAUUUAAAUGCCACCCUGUUUCCGGCAGUUCCCUCAGUUUAAACGCACGUGCUCCUCAGUGUGACAGUGUGAUGAAGUAGUCCAGAUGAAGAACAAAGCUUGGUGUAAUCCAGCGUGCGAAACGCCUCACCUCCUGGAAGUCUGCGCUUUUUGGCAGAGCUGGAGGAAGAGGCUCUGAAGAGAGAGCACAGGCAGGUGCAGAGACGGAAAGUGGCAUAAACACCUAUAUCAUAUCAGCCUGGGAGCUCCGUGUCUGGGGUUUAACUGGGCAAUGACUGUGGAUGUGGACCAAAACAACUUCUGUGCCUUUUUAAUGCAGAGUUGUCCAUUGACCCCAGACUAAAUGAGAAUUUGGGGAAAGUGGAUUUGAGACUUAGAACAAUGGACUACUGAUGCCUAGACCCGACAUUCAAUCCACGUAGGGUUGUCCCCCGGUCACAUUUGGCAAGGUCUGGGGAAAUUUUUUGCCUUGACUGGUGGGAGAGGUGGCAGGGUCUACCAGCAUUUUGUGGUUAGAGGCCAGAUAUACUGCUACACAUGCUACACUUGCUCAGGGCAGCCCCCUCACCACAGAGAUGAUCUGGUCCAAAAGAGUAAUAGUGCUGAUGCUGAGAACCCCGUGAAUACGUCUGGAGCUGCACCUGUAUGGCUAGAAGUGCUGUGGGCGUUGCCAGGAAGGGAUUCAUCCUGAGCCUAAGUCCCAGGGGCGCCCUCCAGUGGCCAUUGUGAAUCUCAGGAGCCUAAGUCCAACGGGUGUCCCCAGGUCUCAGUCCUUUACCCACUGUCUGCUCAACCGCCAGUGGAAGAGCCGCAAGGGGUGUCCUACCCUGGACAGGUACUGUCCCCUCCCCCAUGCACACAAAUUUAUGUGACAGCAUGGAGCAUGAGGCUCCUUUAAUCCCCCAGUUUGUUAACUUUAUGGGAGCAGCUUUGUGUGGCUAGAGAAAGAUACAAAUUUUCCCUUUCCUGAAGACGAAGCAUCACAACCAGGGAACUCUUUCUCUUUUGUGCCAACUAAAUAUACCAAGUCAGUGUGGGGACUUGUACUCCCCAAACCAGAAGAGUGGUACCUUCAUUGCUCUCCUAGGAAUGUUAAUGAGCUUAGCAACAACAGCAACCUCCUUCUGGGGUCUGUGAAACCAAUGAACCUCCUUUCUUGCCAGUACAUCUCUAUGACAUCCUCUUGAAAUUGACCCUCCAUUCUCAAAACAACGAAGGGACAGCAUUAGAGCUUUUCUUUCUUAUUUCCAUGGUUUUUAGGCUCUUAGAUAAUGGCUUUGAUACUUAUGUGAAGUCUGUAUAAAACGCCAAAAUUAUUGGGAAAGUGUAAGCCUGAGACUCAUGCUCGGUUCUUUUCCGACUGAUGUCGGGUGAAGCUGUUUGCUCUCCCAGUACCCAGACCAUGUCCAAAUAUGCCAAGCUAGGCUUCUGGCGGACGUGAUCAAACCACUCAGCCUGCUAGAAUGAGGGAGGCAGGGUGUCGUGCUUCCCAGCCUCUAGAGGGCUGAUUGUUUCAUUCAAGUGACUAAUAAAACACCCAUGCAACAGCAGUUGAACUGUCCAGCCACGGACCUUGGCUUCCCGUGUCUCAUAUCAGCUGCCGCGUUCUACUGUGCUGGGGGUUGUGAAGAGGUCUGGUGAACGGUUUGCCAACCUGUGGGAAACUCGGAAUCCAACAACUUAGAAUUCUUCAAAGAUUUUAUGUUCAAAGUCAGCUUUAAAAAAUAAUGACCAAAGUGGUUCCUUCAUCCCACCAGUAACUUGACCGCUGACACUUCUGAGGAAACCAAAGAAUGAAGCACUGUUCACUACCUUGUCAAGUAUAAAUCACGGUGGCUUCUGGAGACUUGACAUGUGGGAGGAAGAGGUCCGCACUAUGGCUAGUUUCAAAGCAUUUACUUAUUUUUUUUCAAGGUAAAAUAUGUUACUCAAACAUCAACUCAGCAUGAAUCUCUAGUUAUAAGAGCAAAUUCACUCUUCCCACGAGAAUGUUCAGCGGCCCCGUCAGCCAUGCUGUGUAACAUCCUGGGAUGUCGCCAAACGUUUUUUUUCUGAUGGCAGCAGGUAGCGAGGAAUAUCUCAAGUGCUCCAGGGAUCAAAGGCUAAUAAGGGAGAAUUUGGAUAGUCAUCUUAAAAGUUAAUAAACCUAACCGAUAGCUCUGAUCACUAGAAAAAUAAUCUCUCCAAUUUCUCAGAAACAAAACGUCCGAAAGGGCUGUCGUUAGACUUAGGAUCCUGAAAUGGGAUGUGCCACUUGAGGGCGCCAUCAGGUUUCAAGAAAAGAACUUCCUGCUACGUUGAGUGCUGCCUUUGGACGCAAUCUUUGUCCAACGAGUUCUAUGAAAUAAAACUGAGUUUAGGUCUCACUUCUAGGAAACGGAAGGGAGACUGUAAUCUAGUCUUUUUAGACUCAAGUGGGAUUAACCAGGAUUCAGUUGACAAGUUCUAAAUUCCCUUUUACAAAGCUGCCUU